rnacentral:rRNA from 1 species
UUUUAUGAGAGUUUGAUCCUGGCUCAGGACGAACGCUGGCGGCGUGCCUAAUACAUGCAAGUCGAACGCUUCUUUUUCCACCGGAGCUUGCUCCACCGGAAAAAGAGGAGUGGCGAACGGGUGAGUAACACGUGGGUAACCUGCCCAUCAGAAGGGGAUAACACUUGGAAACAGGUGCUAAUACCGUAUAACAAUCAAAACCGCAUGGUUUUGAUUUGAAAGGCGCUUUCGGGUGUCGCUGAUGGAUGGACCCGCGGUGCAUUAGCUAGUUGGUGAGGUAACGGCUCACCAAGGCCACGAUGCAUAGCCGACCUGAGAGGGUGAUCGGCCACAUUGGG